ensembl:lncRNA
UCUUCCGAUCUCGUCGCCCGCGUCGGCCGGGUCCCCGCCGUCCUCCUUCGCCUCGUCCGACGAGGAGCUGGAGGAGGAGCUGCUGGGCGUGCUGCCCGGGAGGGCCCCGCCGAGCGCCGCCCUGGACUGGGCCGUGGUCGACAAGGACCUUGACCUCUUCCCCCGGGGAAUCCCCUCGCACUUUGAGUUCCCGGACUACUGCACUCCGGAGGUGCGGGAGAUGAUCGCGGGGGACUGGCUCAUGUCCAGCAUCUCGGACUUGGUCUUCACGUACUGAGGCCCGCGCCUCGGCAGGUAACUCUUUUCCGCAAUCAGGUCUGUUCAGAAACAAAAAGAAACCAGCUGUUUACAUGCAGGAAUCAGGUAUCUCGCCUUGAACGCAGCCGAAGGCUGCCCCAUCCCCCUCCGCACACACCCACCUCUCCCCGCGCCAGCCCCGGCGCCCGGCUCGGGGCCUGGUGCCGCCCCGUGGCCCCCGAGCCGCCGGGGACGACAGGGCUCGACACCGCCGUGAUUUUGCCAUGAAAUUUGACUGUCUAAUCAGGUUUUCAUUGUCGAGCGCCCCCUCCCCCCACCCUGGCUACAGCUGCUGCUCAGCUCCGCCGCCAUCCAUCUCUCCAUCCAUCCGUCCAUCCGUCAUCUCCGCCGCCGCGGAGAGGCCCCCCACCCCGCCAUCCCGCUUCUGCCCCAUCUUGUCCCUGCUGCCCUCGCCACUUGCCCCCUCCCCCGUGAAUUGGCAGGCGCGCUCCCCCCAGCAGCCCCCCACCCGCUCGCGGCUCUCUGCAUGCCUGGGAAUCACCACUUCCCUUUGCUUCCAUUUUUAGUGCAUUUUCCAGCCUGGCUUCCCUGCGCUCCGGUGCCCUUGAGCAGCCCCAGAGACAGGCUCCAGGCCCCGGCACGGCGCUCCCGGGCGCGCGGGCCGCGGCCAGCCCCUGCCCCCCGCCUCUCCAGCCGACACCCAGGCGCGCCAGGUGCCAGCCCCGGGGGCCGCGGCGCCUCCCCGGCGCUGGCAGAGGCGCCUGCUCCCCGCUCCCCACUUUGGGGAAGAGCGAAGUUGGCCGCACGUGGUUUGCACGUGGAUCCGGGAGGCUGCGUUACUCCUCUCUCCAGAUGCUCGCGCAGGCGGCUGCGCAGCGCGGGCAGCCCGUGCUGGGAAGGACCCGUCUCCCUGCCAAGGUGAGCGGGGAGCCCCGGGCAGGCGGGGCGAGGGGCAGGGAGCUGCUCCCUUCGGCACGAGGGUCCCCGGCCCUCCGGCCCCGCCAGCCCCGGGCAGCGGUGCUCCGGCUGGCGGGGCUGGCCCGGCACAUGCCGUGUGCAGGGCGAGGCUGCUUCGCUGCAGCCCCCGGCGUGGUCCAGGGCUGAGCUGGCCCGCAGACGGCGCCCGAAAGGGGCAGCAGCAAGGCUGGGCAGCGGGGAGACCUGGGUCUCCGGGCCAGGUCCGGCCCUGCUGUCCCGGGCCGAGGGCACCGGUCCCCAGGGCAGCCGGGCAGGGGCUCGCCGGUCCGCGGCGCGCCGAGCUGGGCUUCUCCGUGCCUGAGCUAAUGGCUCCUGCCUCCAGCGCAGGCGCCUCCUCCCACCGCCUGCGAGCAUAUGGCUGCGCUGCCAGGUGCGGUUUCAAGUCGCCGAGCCGUGCUGCAGGGGGACGGGACCCCCGCCCAGGCCGGGCCGCGCUUUGCACCCAGGCCGCGGGGGUUCAGGCAGGCUCGGCGGCUGCCCGUCCCGGCCGGGGGUCCCGAUUCCUGGCAGCUGCUGACUCCAGCUGCAUGCUCUGUCCCCUGCCCCGAGAGACGUUCAGCCCCCAGCCCAGCCCGGGGAGGCAGAUGCGGCCGCUCCGCUUCCUCCGGGGCUGUUUCUCAGGCUGCCCGGCAAAUAGCAGGCCCCACCGGGCCCCGUGGCAGGCGGUGGGGGCCGCCCCCGGUCCAGGGUGGCGGGGGGCAUCCAGGACGUCCCUCCCCAAAGAUGCU